ACACAUCAUCGUCUACACCCUUCUUUCUUUCUUUUACCCCUCAUAUUUUAGGUGUUUUUUCAGGCAAGCAGAGCUCUCUCUCUCUCUCUCUCUCUCUCUCUCUCUCUCUCUCUCUCAACACUCAUUGAACCACCUCCUCCUCCUCCCCCCCUCCUCUCUCAACCUCUCUAUCUGACUCAGAUCCUACUCAGAUCCUCCGUUCUCUCGGAUCGUUUGUCGUGGCUUCACAGGUUUCAAUUUUUUCGAUAACCUUUAUGACGAUGUCCGUUGGUCUUCGGCAAUUGACACGUCGCUUCUCCAUCUUAUUCUCACAUUGCAGUCUUCCCUCAGCCUCACUCUCACCCUCUCAAUCCCGUUAAUUGCCUCUUGCACCAUCGAAUGACCCCCCCGAAACCCAGACGAAAAACCCCCAAAUUUUACCCAUAAACCAAACUCAGACCGCUGCCUCCUUCGCUCAAAGGCGAAAGAUUAAUUAAUUAGUUAACACAUUCAUUCAAAUGAAGGAAUGAGGCAGUUUUUGCAACAAAUAAUCUGGUACGAAGAUGCUUCUUUGAGCCUGAGAAUGCAACUAUGUUGGCCAAAACCAAUGAAUAGGAGGGAUUCGCAUAUUAGGCAGGAGUAAGGGUAGCAACACAGUAGUCAUUUACUGUUUAAGCUAAUUUUGAGUUAUUCCCUACUCUUUUACCCAUUUAUCUCUAUGGUAGGUAUUAACUGCAGCAUUAUGAUUAAGUGUCAUCUUCUGCUUUCCUCGAAUUUACUAAUUCAUGACUCUUAUAGAUUCUCCUCAUUUUUGGUACUUCCUUGAGCUUGUGGAUGAAUCUUUCAAAAAUAUCCAUUGCAAUUGUGGUACACAUGGAUGAGGUAAUUCACAAAUUUCAUAUAACAGGGGCACAAGUGCUCUACAUGUCAAUCUUUUGCGAUAUUCCAAAAUGCCUAAACUUUACAAACUACAGCUACAAGCCAUGUGUUUUAAUCCUUCACUGCCAAUCGUUGGUAACAAUAGUUGUUUUGUCAGGUGGGAAGAAUACGUUUUGGGUGAUGUACAUAUGUAUUUUCAUAUAAGAAUGCGACAUAACAUCCUUCUUUAAAUUUAGUUUUGUUUAGAAAACUGUAAAAUUAUAAACUCGAAUUCUGUUGGUACCAUUAGUUUUUACUACAAUUGACAUUAGGUACAAUUUGUCUUACUAUCUUGGAAAAUUUUGGUGUAGAGGAAUGGAAAAGGGCUUGAAGAUGAGCUGCCCCUUGAAGCAAAUGGAGACUACACCAAGUCAAGGAGGAGGAGCUUAAUUAAUGGUAUUUUUCUCUAAAAACAAAUGACUUGGAGAGAUAGUCUAGAGUCCUGAAUCUUUGCAUCAUGAGGAGGAUAUGGUUCAGUGGACAGAAAGUUUUAUAGGCUGAAGCUUUAUAGGCUGUUCUGUUUGAAAACCGCAGCUAGGAAGACGACCGCAUAAUCAAGCAAGUUGGGAGACCUGGUGCUAAAAGAUUGUUUGUUCUUGCAAAGUUCUUACCAGGGUGAGUUAUACCGUGAAAACUCACUUCCAGAUCUUGAGAGAACCACUCAAAUGCAUGAUAAUAUGCAAAGUACUUUGGUUUCCAAUUUAUAAGCAUGCUGUUUGUAUUUCAUUUGUAUUGAUAUAUACCUUAGCAUAUUGACCACUUGCAAUACUUGGUCUAUUUUCAGUAUGAAAAUAUCCUGAGGAUAGGUCCAGCACUUGCAACACUUUCUGUGUUUUCAUUAUGAAAAGAUUAAUGGAAUUAUUGUGUAUGGUGUUUUCUCAUUAAUUUCGGAAGUGUUGAAUAUAAGUAUUUCCAUUAGGAAUGUAAUUCAUUUAUUUGUAAAACAACGAAUAUUUGAAAACGAAAAAAAAAAAAAAAAA